rnacentral:rRNA from 1 species
GUGGGGAAUUUUGGACAAUGGGCGAAAGCCUGAUCCAGCCAUGCCGCGUGCAGGAUGAAGGCCUUCGGGUUGUAAACUGCUUUUGUACGGAACGAAAAGACUCCUUCUAAUAAAGGGGGUCCAUGACGGUACCGUAAGAAUAAGCACCGGCUAACUACGUGCCAGCAGCCGCGGUAAUACGUAGGGUGCAAGCGUUAAUCGGAAUUACUGGGCGUAAAGCGUGCGCAGGCGGUUAUAUAAGACAGAUGUGAAAUCCCCGGGCUCAACCUGGGAACUGCAUUUGUGACUGUAUAGCUAGAGUACGGUAGAGGGGGAUGGAAUUCCGCGUGUAGCAGUGAAAUGCGUAGAUAUGCGGAGGAACACCGAUGGCGAAGGCAAUCCCCUAGACCUGUACUGACGCUCAUGCACGAAAGCGUGGGGAGCAAACAGGAUUAGAAACCCUUGUAGUCC